GAACAUGCCUCCUAGACUCAACUGAAUAAACAGCUCCCCUCCCCCACUCCACUAACAAAAAUUACACAUUUGCAGUUUUUCUUAACUUCAAGCAACCCCCACUAUCUCAGCCUAGCCCAAGAAACCCACGAAGCUAAAGUAAUGUCCCAGGCAGCGUGACGUCUCAGCCAAUCAGAAGUCCUUACAGAAGUCUCGGAUGCUGGGUACCUCUCUCUCUCAUCUCCUCUCGUGUCCCGGCCUCCGGGACCGACUUCCUCUCGAGGGGCGGCUCUCCGAGUCAUAAUCCUCAUAUGUGUUUUCGGUAUGCUGGGUCCUCUGCCCCUGGGAUGUGUCGGCAUCGUCGCCCUCAGUCAGCAACAUCUUUUCUAUCCUCUCUUCGGUUGCUGGGUCCUCUGCCCCUGGGAUGUGUCGGCAUCGCCGCCCUCAGUCAGCGACCAUCUUUCUAUCCUCUCUUCGGUUGCUGGGUCCUCUGCCCCUGGGAUGUGUCGGCAUCACCGCCCUCAGUCAGCGACCUCUUUUCUAUCCUCUCUUCGGUUGCUGGGUCCUCUGCCCCUGGGAUGUGUCGGCAUCACGCCCUCAGUCAGCGACCUCUUUUCUAUCCUCUCUUCGGUUGCUGGGUCCUCUGCCCCUGGGAUGUGUCGGCAUCGUUGCCCUCAGUCAGUGACCACUUUCUAUCCAACUAACUGCUCCUUGCUGCUUCUUCUGCAUUAUCCUUCACCCCAGCUCAUGCCCCAUGAAACAACAUAUAAUAAUGUCCUCAUAUAUUUUUUCUUCAGUUAGAAAAACUUCAAUUAACGCAAAAUAGGUCAUGGUGCCACAUUGACAAGUUAAGAUACUUUCAGGAGGACAGUCGAUUCUCAUUAAUAUGAAUUUCAAGGGACCAGCAACACAUUUUGCAUUAUACCUCUAAUUUGUAUUAUCAUGAGUAGCCAAAUGCAUACUGUCCGUUUUUAUUUCAGUUAGUCAGUAGUGCAGUGCUAAAUUGUGCACAAUUACAAACCACGUGCACAUUAAUAGAAUAGGUGUGUUUCCUAUUCCUAUACAGAUGCUCAGAAUGAGCUGGAGGGGUUAGCGGCACAUGUGUGCAGUCUAUUGCUCCCAACAUGUUGGGGAAACCAGAAAUAUUAUAGAAAUUUGUUUUCAAGGCUUGUAAGUACUCCCUGCUUUUAGGGAAAAAACUGUGUAUUUGGCUGUUCGCCUCAAAAAUGCAUUGAGCACAACUGGUAACACACGAGAAAAAGCGGACUAGGAAGUGCUAGCAACAGCUGCCACAGUCCCCUGAAAAUACCCUUUCUCCUCUCAUCCUACAAAUCACUCGCUCUUGCUGAAGACGAUGUCUCCUUGCUGCAAUCACAGAGGCCAUGGUUAGGGGGUAGUGUUUUUCAUACUGACUUUUAAAGGUUUGCUAAUUGCGACUGUUUAAAAUGUGCUUUCAAAAGUUCUUAACUUGAUGCAAUUGUAAGUGUCGCAAUUGCUGGCAGCUUUAAUACAUCUCAUUAUAAUAUCUGAGAACCCUCAAGGCUGAACCGCAAUGAAAAACUGCUGCCGCAAAGCAUUCCCUAAAAAGUCACUAACAGCAUUGCGAUUGUUUAGAUCAUUUCACCCUAGACUUCCGACUCAUUUGCAUGGUUUGUGACUAUUGCGACAGCCACAACACUUGAGUACAUCUACCCCUCAGUCUUGUAACAUUAUCAUAAUAUUUUUUUGAACAUUUUAAAAAUAUUACCCAACUCCAAAUGUCAUUGUCUUUCGCUGUUUCAAAAAUAAGAAGACAUUAUGGCAUGAUCUCUUUAAAAAAAAAAUAUAUAUAUAUAUAUAUUCCUAGUUCAGGCCCUGGUACUGUCCCGCCUUGUCUACUGCAACUCCCUCCUGUCCUCCCUGCCUCUGCUAUCCGUCUGCAAUCCAGCUCAACCAAAACUCUGCUGCUCGCCUUAUCUUUUCCCUUCCUCAUUUCUCCCACGCUACACCGCUGCUCUGCUCCCUCCACUGGCUCCCUAUCGCUGCGCUUAUCCAAGUCAAAACGCUUGUACUCACCUAUCGCUGUCUUGACCUUUCUGCUCCCUCCUAUCUCCAGACUAUCAUUUCUCCCUACACCCCCUCUCGCCCCCUCCACUCCACCACCAGCAGACUAGCUGCCCCCCCCCCCCCUCCACUCCCUGGCUUCCAGAGCCCGCUCCUUCUCCACCCUUGCCCCUCAGCGGUGAAACGACCUGUCCACGGAUAUCAGUCCCUGACCACCUUCCGAUGCCUCCUCAAGACAGCAUCUGUAAACCUCACAACUCUCGACCAUACUGGACUAUAUGGCACCCAAUUGUACCAGUACUUGCAUCAGCUUGUAUUUGCACUGAACUGCUCCAUACCUUGCCGUAUUCUACUACUUAUUAUUAUUUAUUUAUUUAUUUAUUUAGCAGACGCCUUUAUCCAAGGUGACUUACAGAGACUAGGGUGUGUGAACUAUGCAUCAGCUGCAGAGUCACUUACAAUUACGUCUCAUCCGAAAGACGGAGCACAAGGAGGUUAAGUGACUUGCUCAGGGUCACACAAUGAGUCAGUGGUUGAGGUGGGACUUGAACCGGGGACCUUCUGGUUACAAGCCCUUUUCUUUAACCACUGGACCACACAGCCUCGACUGGUCAGCCGAAAAGCUUAGGCUGCAUCCCUCUGAACUACACAUUGCUUACGAUGUGCUGAUAAAUCACACAGCUAAACUCUCUCUGUCUGUCAACCUGCUUAAGCUCAUUGUAUUGCUGAAUAUGAUUUUAUAAUUAAUAUCACACACAACUUUAUGUAUGCAAGCACUCUUGUCUUCUCGGUAUUUAGAUAAUACUACUGCUCUUAAUUAUAACUACUUCCUGUAUCUUGUACUUGAUUUUACUCUUAUACUUAUCCAUAAUCGCGUUUUUUGUAAUUGCUCUUACUUGAAAUCAUUCUCAUCCAUGUAUCAUACUUACUACGUGCUCAUACUGGACUUUACUCGUAUAAACAAAUAUUUUUAAUAUAAGUUACCUGCUCUUAGUCGAACCCGCUCUUACAUGUAAUUAUUUACUGUGUUCUCUGUUUUUUGCUCUUAUUUGAAUUUGAUCUUUUGCUACUGAUUUUAUUGUACUCUUAUCUGUCAUGUGAUAUUCUGAAAUGUGAUACUUUACAAUGUGAUACUUUGUACUGUGAUAUUUUGUAACAAAUGUAAGUCGCCCUGGAUAAUGGCAUCUGCUAAUGAAUAAAUAAUAUUAAUAAUAAUAAUUACUAUUACUGAUUAAUUAUUUUACCACUUUUACUGAUUAUUAUUUUGCCAGUUGUAUUACCAAUAGAACAUAUAUAACAGAUAACAGCAUGACAUGUUUUGCACCUUACUGUAGUACAUAAGUUACUCAAAAAGUAUUGGGUAGUAAGGUAGUCCCACACCCAGCUAACACUUUUGUCCCAUAAUUCAGUUAUUUAAUUACGCUAAUUUCAAACAUGUUGUAGUAACAGUUCAAGUUUAGUAUAUCGGGCACUGUAUGUGUGUAAAUGUAUGACAGAUUUAAAGAUUAAACCACUUUGAAUAAAUACAA